rnacentral:ncRNA from 2 species
UAGCGACGCUCUGGAAAGUGCUACCUCUCUUAGAGGGGGGCCGCCGAAGGGGUAACCCCAUCAAGCCCUUCUGGAGAGGAGGGUGGGGGAAAGCUCUCAGGUUUCCGUGACAGAGGGGGCGCC